CAAUGAGGAGCAGAGAGACUGAAAUGGCGAUCAGACUUCACACAUUGUGGCUGACGGGGUUCCAAAAUCAUGUACCACUCCAACGGCAUAUCUGGAGUUGGUGUUAACAGACCUUUCAUCACCAAGGAUACAGGAUCUGAUGAAGGUAAACGAUUCUAGGGAACUAGAGUGUGGAGCUAUUCCUCAUGUCCAAGCCAACAAUUAACAUUACAACAACUACUUAC